UGCUUAUAACAUAUGGGAUUUGUUCAUUGAUGCUGGCCUCUGCUGAAUACAUGUAGAUGUCACAUUGACAAUCAAAGCACACCAUUUUAUUUUACACACAAACUUGUCAUGAGCUAUAAUUAUUAAUUAUGUUUCCGGUUUUCUUGAAAUACAUUGUGACUUGUUGUCGUACUUACUUUAUAAGUGAAAACUAUCUCAGUUAUAUAAGAAAAGUAAUGCAUUCAUAAAUUUUCCAUAUUCAAAACAC
rnacentral:lncRNA from 1 species